rnacentral:rRNA from 1 species
UACGUAGGGUGCGAGCGUUAAUCGGAAUUACUGGGCGUAAAGCGUGCGCAGGCGGUUUUGUAAGCCAGAUGUGAAAUCCCCGGGCUUAACCUGGGAAUGGCAUUUGGGACUGCAAGGCUGGAGUGUGGCAGAGGAGACUGGAAUUCCCGGUGUAGCAGUGAAAUGCGUAGAUAUGCGGAGGAACACCGAUGGCGAAGGCAGCCCCCUGGGCCGACAUUGACGCUCAGGCACGAAAGCGUGGGGAGCAAACAGG